UUAAGUUCGUAUUGUAGAUCUUCUCCCAUUCCUCCUCUGACAAAUUCAGUGGAGAGUGCACACUGCCUCGAAUUCCAGCGUUAUUAACCAAAACAUCGAUACGUCCAAAGGCGUUCCAAGCUUUCUGCACGGCGGCUUCAAUGGCAGCAUCAUUCGCGCUAACGUCGAGCUCAAUCGCUACGGCUUGAAUCUCCUGACUUGAAAUUGUCGAUUCG
rnacentral:misc_RNA from 1 species